rnacentral:rRNA from 1 species
AGAGUUUGAUCAUGGCUCAGAACGAACGCUGGCGGCAGGCUUAACACAUGCAAGUCGAACGGGCGUAGCAAUACGUCAGUGGCAGACGGGUGAGUAACACGUGGGAACCUUCCUCAUAGUACGGAACAACUCAGGGAAACUUGAGCUAAUACCGUAUACGUCCGAGAGGAGAAAGAUUUAUCGCUAUGAGACGGGCCCGCGUCCGAUUAGCUAGUUGGUGGGGUAACGGCCUACCAAGGCAACGAUCGGUAGCUGAUCUGAGAGGAUGAUCAGCCACACUGGGACUGAGACACGGCCCAGACUCCUACGGGAGGCAGC